AGGUUAACCGUAUAGGGGAGCCGUAGGGAAACCGAGUCUUAACUGGGCGAAUGAGUUGCAGGGUAUAGACCCGAAACCCGGUGAUCUAUCCAUGGGCAGGUUGAAGGUUGGGUAACACUAACUGGAGGACCGAACCGACUAAUGUUGAAAAAUUAGCGGAUGACUUGUGGAUGGGGGUGAAAGGCCAAUCAAACCGGGAGAUAGCUGGUUCUCCCCGAAAGCUAUUUAGGUAGCGCCUCGUGAACUCAUCUUCGGGGGUAGAGCACUGUUUCGACUAGGGGGUCAUCCCGACUUACCAACUCGAUGCAAACUGCGAAUACCGAAGAAUGUUAUCACGGGAGACACACGGCGGGUGCUAACGUCCGUCGUGAAGAGGGAAACAACCCAGACCGCCAGCUAAGGUCCCAAAGUCAUGGUUAAGUGGGAAACGAAGUGGGAAGGCUCAGACAGCCAGGAUGUUGGCUUAGAAGCAGCCAUCAUUUAAAGAAAGCGUAAUAGCUCACUGGUCGAGUCGGCCCGCGCGGAAGAUGUAACGGGGCUAAACCAUGCACCGAAGCUGCGGCAGCGACACAAAGUGUUGUUGGGUAGGGGAGCGUUCUGUAAGCCUGCGAAGGUGUACUGUGAGGUAUGCUGGAGGUAUCAGAAGUGCGAAUGCUGACAUAAGUAACGAUAAUGCGGGUGAAAAACCCGCACGCCGGAAGACCAAGGGUUCCUGUCCAACGUUAAUCGGGGCAGGGUGAGUCGACCCCUAAGGCGAGGCUGAAAAGCGUAGUCGAUGGGAAACGGGUUAAUAUUCCCGUACUGGUGGUAACUGCGAUGGGGGAACGGAGAAGGCUAGGUUGUCCGGGCGACGGUCGUCCCGGUUCAAGCAGGUAGGCAGAGUGAUUAGGCAAAUCCGGUCACUUAAUGCUGAGAUGUGAUGACGAACCAC
rnacentral:rRNA from 1 species